GACGAACGCUGGCGGCGUGCUUAACACAUGCAAGUCGAACGGAAAGGCCCUGCUUUUGUGGGGUGCUCGAGUGGCGAACGGGUGAGUAACACGUGAGUAACCUGCCCUUGACUUUGGGAUAACUUCAGGAAACUGGGGCUAAUACCGGAUAGGAGCUCCUGCUGCAUGGUGGGGGUUGGAAAGUUUCGGCGGUUGGGGAUGGACUCGCGGCUUAUCAGCUUGUUGGUGGGGUAGUGGCUUACCAAGGCUUUGACGGGUAGCCGGCCUGAGAGGGUGACCGGCCACAUUGGGACUGAGAUACGGCCCAGACUCCUACGGGAGGCAGCAGUGGGGAAUAUUGCACGAUGGGCGGCAGCCGGAUGCAGCAACGCCGCGUGCGGGAUGACGGCCUUCGGGUUGUAACCCGCUUUCGCCUGUGACGAAGCGUGAGUGACGGUAAUGGGUAAAGAAGCACCGGCUAACUACGUG
rnacentral:rRNA from 1 species